rnacentral:rRNA from 1 species
CCUACGGGUGGCAGCAGUGAGGAAUAUUGGUCAAUGGCCGGAAGUCUGAACCAGCCAAGCCGCGUGAAGGACGACGGUGCUAAGCAUUGUAAACUUCUUUUGUACAGGGAUAAAAUCAGGCUCGUGAGCCUGUUCGUGGGUACUUGAUGAAUAAGCAUCGGCUAACUCCGUGCCAGCAGCCGCGGUAAUACGGAGGAUCCGAGCGUUAUCCGGAUUUAUUGGGUUUAAAGGGUGCGUAGGCGGCCGUUAAGUCAGCUGUGAAAGUCUGUGGGUCAACCAUAGAAUUGCCGUUGAAACUGGGAGGCUUGAGUAUGGUAGAGGCAGGCGGAAUGCGUGGUGUAGCGGUGAAAUGCUUAGAUAUCACGCAGAACCCCGAUUGCGAAGGCAGCCUGC